rnacentral:tRNA from 1 species
UGGAGAGGUGUCCGAGUGGCUGAAGGAGCAGCACUGGAAAUGCUGUAUAGGGGUAACCCUAUCGGGGGUUCGAAUCCCCCCCUCUCCGU